CAAAAUAGCCCUUCCAUUCACCUCUCAUAACUAAUUAUUCCAGAAUAACCUGCUAAUGUUUGCUUAAAGGAGUCAGUAUUCUGCCAUGUACUGCGAUGCCAGGUUGGACCAAGUGACGUUCAAAAUGGCAGGACGUUGAGUCGAGCUAAAUCGUAUUUGAAGUGGCAUGCAUGAGACUGACUAGGCUAAGGCACAAUCGAAUCUCGUGAGUGCUCGGUUUGUAUGCUUUGAGUAAAUUGGUUGCAUAUUUCUAACAGCUCGAAUUUUUUAAAUUAAUAAUUAGUGCCAACGAUCCGAUAUUAAGUGCUUGUUAAGAGAGGACUAA
rnacentral:lncRNA from 1 species